rnacentral:tmRNA from 1 species
GGGGGUGAUCGGUUUCGACUGGAGAUGUCGGAGCAGAGGAAGCGAGCCGAGGAAGCGGCAAUGAUCUCGUUAACCAUAUGCCGAAACCUAUAAUCGCCGAUAACAAGCGCGAUUCCUUCGCCCUCGCCGCCUGAGCGAGCUUCGAAGGUGUCAGACCGGGUGCGUCCCCGCCCCGGAUCCUGGCAUAAUCAAGGGGACUCCACCGCACUGCCCGGUUACGGGGCCGUUCGGAACAUUUAACAGUAACUGAGCCCGUCGGCAACUUGUCCGCGUGAUUGCCGGGGCUGAGAAAAUCGAAGCGGACUGCGCUCGGAGAAGCUCUGGUCUCGCACUUCAGGACGCGGGUUCAAUUCCCGCCACCUCCACCC